AUGGUUAAGGUAGAGGUUGUCAGGGUCUGUGUACCUAUAGUUAAGGUAAAGGUUGUCAGGGUCUGUGUACCUAUAGUUAAGGUAAAGGUUGUCAGGGUGUGUGUAGCUAUAGUUAAGGUAGAAGUUGUCAGGGUCUGUGUACCUAUAGUUAAGGUAGAGGUUGUCGGGGUCUGUGUACCUAUAGUUAAGGUAGAGGUUGUCAGGGUCUGUGUACCUAUAGUUAAGGUAAAGGUUGUCAGGGUCUGUGUACCUAUAGUUAAGGUAGAGGUUGUCAGGGUCUGUGUACCUAUAGUUAAGGUAGAGGUUGUCUGGGUCUGUGUAGCUAUAUUUAAGGUAGAGGUUGUCAGGGUCUGUGUACCUAUAGUUAAGGUAGAGGUUGUCAGGGUCUGUGUACCUAUAGUCAAGGUAGAGGUUGUCAGGGUCUGUGUACCUAUAGUUAAGGUAGAGGUUGUCAGGGUCUGUGUAUCUAUAGUUAAGGUAAAGGUUGUCAGGGUCUGUGUACCUAUAGUUAAGGUAAAGGUUGUCAGGGUCUGUGUACCUAUAGUUAAGGUAAAGGUUGUCAGGGUCUAUGUAGCUAUAUUUAAGGUAGAGGUUGUCAGGGUCUAUGUAGCUAUAGUUAAGGUAGAGGUUGUCAGGGUCUAUGAAGCUAUAGUUAAGGUAGAGGUUGUCAGGGUCUAUGUACCUAUAGUUAAGGUAGAGGUUGUCAGGGUCUAUGUACCUAUAGUUAAGGUAGAGGUUGUCAGGGUCUAUGUACCUAUAGUUAAGGUAGAGGUUGUCAGGGUCUAUGUACCUAUAGUUAAGGUAGAGGUUGUCAGGGUCUAUGUACCUAUAGUUAAGGUAGAGGUUGUCAGGGUCUGUGUACCUAUAGUUAAGGUAGAGGUUGUCAGGGUCUGUGUACCUAUAGUUAAGGUAAAGGUUGUCAGGGUCUGUGUACCUAUAGUUAAGGUAAAGGUUGUCAGGGUCUGUGUACCUAUAGUUAAGGUAAAGGUUGUCAGGGUCUAUGUAGCUAUAUUUAAGGUAGAGGUUGUCAGGGUCUGUGUACCUAUAGUUAAGGUAGAGAUUGUCAGGGUCUGUGUACCUAUAGUUAAGGUAGAGGUUGUCAGGGUCUAUGUACCUAUAGUUAAGGUAGAGGUUGUCAGGGUCUAUGUACCUAUAGUUACGGUAGAGGUUGUCAGGGUCUAUGUAGCUAUAGUUAAGGUAGAGGUUGUCAGGGUCUAUGUACCUAUAGUUAAGGUAGAGGUUGUCAGGGUCUAUGUAGCUAUAGUUAAGGUAGAGGUUGUCAGGGUCUGUGUACCUAUAGUUAAGGUAGAGGUUGUCAUGGUCUAUGUAGCUGUAGUUAAGGUAGAGGUUGUCAGGGUCUGUGUACCUAUAGUUAAGGUAUAG
rnacentral:lncRNA from 1 species